rnacentral:rRNA from 1 species
UACGGGGGGGGCAAGCGUUGUUCGGAAUUACUGGGCGUAAAGGGCUCGUAGGUGGCCAACUAAGUCGGACGUGAAAUCCCUCAGCUUAACUGGGGAACUGCGUCCGAUACUGGAUGGCUUGAGUUUGGGAGAGGGAUGCGGAAUUCCAGGUGUAGCGGUGAAAUGCGUAGAGAUGUGGAGGAACACCAGUGGCGAAGGCGGCUUUCUGGUCUGUAACUGACGCUGAGGCGCGAAAGCGUGGGGAGCAAACAGG